GCAGCCUGCAGGAAGAAACCAGAGGCCUUGUUCAUCUUGCAAGAUGCCUGGGCAUCUAAGACGUCAGAACAUACUUUCCAAAGACCUGACAGUGAACCCUACUCCGGAAGUGCUCUCAGCAGCCUGGACCAAAGUCACUUCCUCCAUAGUCUGCGGCCAUCUUUUCUUCAAGCUGAAGCUGGGUCAGAACUGGCAGGCCAGCUGAAGCACCAAGCCACAUCACAGUUCAGUGUGCUCCUAGCAUGUGUAAAGAACUCAUGGUAUGAAGCACUGUGGCCCCGACACAGGGUCCUGACCACUUCAGACCCCACAGAGGGGCCUGUCCUGCAGCAGUGGACUGAAGUACCUUCAGCAGACGGUCCCGUGGGUGUCUAGACAUGGGAUUGCU
rnacentral:lncRNA from 1 species